AUUGAACGCUGGCGGCAGGCCUAACACAUGCAAGUCGAACGCGUGGCGGACGGUUGAGUAAUGUCUGGGAAACUGCCUGAUGGAGGGGGAUAACUACUGGAAACGGUAUCUACUACCGCAUACCAUCGGAUGUGCCCAGAUGGGAUUAGCUAGUAGGUGGGGUAAAGGCUAACCUAGGCGACGAUCCCUAGCUGGUCUGAGAGGAUGCCCAUCGACACCGGAACUGAUACACGGUCCAGAUUCCUACGAGAGGCAGCAGUGGGGAAUAUUGCACAAUGGGCGCAAGCCUGAUGCAGCCAUGCCGCGUGUAUGAAGAAGGCCUGCGGGUUGGAAAGUACUUUCAGCGGUGAGGCGUUACCCGCAGAAGAAGCACCGGCUAACUCCGUGCCAGCAGCCGCGGUAAUAC
rnacentral:rRNA from 1 species